GACGAACGCUGGCGGCGUGCUUAACACAUGCAAGUCGAACGGAAAGGCGCUGCUGUUUUGGGGUGCUCGAGUGGCGAACGGGUGAGUAACACGUGAGUAACCUGCCCUUGACUGUGGGAUAACUUCAGGAAACUGGGGCUAAUACCGGAUAGGAGCUCCUGCUGCAUGGGGGGGGUUGGAAAGGUUCGGCGGGUGGGGAUGGACUCGCGGCUUAGCAGCUUUGUGGGGGGGGAGUGGCUUACCAAGGCUUUGACUGAUAGCCGGCCUGAGAGGGUGACCGGCCACCUUGCGCCUACGAUACGGACCAGACUCCUACGGGACGCAGUAGUGGGGAAUCUUGUGCAGUGGGCGGACGUCUGAUGAGGAAACGCCGCGUGCGGAAUGACCGCCUUCCGGUUGUAAACCGAUUUAGCCUGUGACCAAGCGUGAGUGACGGUACUGGGUAAAGAAGCACCGGCUAACUCCGUG
rnacentral:rRNA from 1 species